rnacentral:rRNA from 1 species
AGAGUUUGAUCCUGGCUCAGGAUGAACGCUGGCGGCGUGCUUAACACAUGCAAGUCGAACGAAGCACUUUAUUUGAUUUCUUCGGAAUGAAGAUUUUGUGACUGAGUGGCGGACGGGUGAGUAACGCGUGGGUAACCUGCCUCAUACAGGGGGAUAACAGUUGGAAACGACUGCUAAUACCGCAUAAGCGCACAGGGUCGCAUGACCUGGUGCGAAAAACUCCGGUGGUAUGAGAUGGACCCGCGUCUGAUUAGCCAGUUGGUGGGGUAACGGCCUACCAAAGCAACGAUCAGUAGCCGACCUGAGAGGGUGACCGGCCACAUUGGGACUGAGACACGGCCCAAACUCCUACGGGAGGCAGCAGUGGGGAAUAUUGCACAAUGGGGGAAACCCUGAUGCAGCGACGCCGCGUGGAGGAAGAAGGUCUUCGGAUUGUAAACUCCUGUUGUUGGGGAAGAUAAUGACGGUACCCAACAAGGAAGUGACGGCUAACUACGUGCCAGCAGCCGCGGUAAUACGUAGGUGGCAAGCGUUGUCCGGAAUUACUGGGUGUAAAGGGAGCGUAGGCGGGGAGGCAAGUUGAAUGUCUAAACUAUCGGCUCAACUGAUAGUCGCGUUCAAAACUGCCACUCUUGAGUGCAGUAGAGGUAGGCGGAAUUCCUAGUGUAGCGGUGAAAUGCGUAGAUAUUAGGAGGAACACCAGUGGCGAAGGCGGCCUACUGGGCUGUAACUGACGCUGAGGCUCGAAAGCGUGGGUAGCAAACAGGAUUAGAUACCCUGGUAGUCCACGCCGUAAACGAUGAUUACUAGGUGUGGGGGGACUGACCCCUUCCGUGCCGGAGUUAACACAAUAAGUAUCCCACCUGGGGAGUACGAUCGCAAGGUUGAAACUCAAAGGAAUUGACGGGGGCCCGCACAAGCGGUGGAUUAUGUGGUUUAAUUCGAAGCAACGCGAAGAACCUUACCAGGGCUUGACAUCCUACUAACGAAGUAGAGAUACGUCAGGUGCCCUUCGGGGAAAGUAGAGACAGGUGGUGCAUGGUUGUCGUCAGCUCGUGUCGUGAGAUGUUGGGUUAAGUCCCGCAACGAGCGCAACCCCUAUUGUUAGUUGCUACGCAAGAGCACUCUAGCGAGACUGCCGUUGACAAAACGGAGGAAGGUGGGGACGACGUCAAAUCAUCAUGCCCCUUAUGUCCUGGGCUACACACGUAAUACAAUGGCGGUCAACAGAGGGAUGCAAAACCGUAAGGUGGAGCGAACCCCUAAAAGCCGUCCCAGUUCAGAUCGUGGGCUGCAACUCGCCCACGUGAAGUCGGAAUCGCUAGUAAUCGCGGAUCAGCAUGCCGCGGUGAAUACGUUCCCGGGCCUUGUACACACCGCCCGUCA